rnacentral:rRNA from 1 species
GUGCAAAGACAGCCGGCAGGUUGGCUUAGAAGCAGCCAUUCCUUGAAAGAGUGCGUAAUAGCUCACUGGUCGAGCACUAGUGCGCAGAUAAUGUAACGGGGCUAAGCGUAAUACCGAAGUUUUGGAUCUAACCUUUAAGUGUUAGGUGGUAGGGAACCAUCCUUAUGCCUGAAAAAGUAGUACCUUGGGAGAAUUCUGGAGGUGGAUGGAAGAGAGAAUGCAGUAUAAGUAACGCAAAGAUGGGUGAGAUCCCCGUCCGCCGAAACCUAAGGUUUCCUGGGUAAAGGUAAUCUGCCCAGGGUAAGUCGGCCCCUAAGGCGAGGACGAAAGUCGUAGUCGAUGGGAAUCUGGUUCAAAUUCCAGAACCUUUAUUAGUUUCGAGGGCAAGACGCAUGAGGUGAAACCCGGCCGGGUGACGGUUAUUCCGGUCGAAGCAACUAGCUGAUGAGUAAUAUAGGCAAAAUCCGUUUCAUGAGGUGAGCUGCGACACCAAAUGAAGAAAAAAUUUAAUUGAAGACGAUGGAAAUCAGGGUGCCCGGAAAUAACGGCUAAAGGCAAGGCUAUGAAGGACCGGUCCGGAAACCGACACCGGUAGGAAGGAAUAAAAAACUAAAGGCCCUCAACGAACUAUCGAGUUAUGAGAAAUCGGCCAAAUGGCCCCCUUACUUUCGAAAAAGUGGGGCCUCUAUUGGGAAAAAUUUUAGGUGUGGACAGCACACCCCCGCGACUGUGAUUAACAAACAGCCAUCUGCUAACCACCAAUGAUGCGUAUU